rnacentral:lncRNA from 1 species
UGACGUGUGGGGUGUCCCCUGCCAUGCUUGCCACUGAAGAGACCAGGACGUUGCUAACCAGGUGAAGCCUCAAUUAUGAGAAAAAAAUCAAGAAGUUCCCUAUUUUUAAGGCUGUGGUAUUCAAGAGCCAGGUGGUCACAGGGACAAACUUCACGUUGCUGAUAACAUCGUAUACUUCCAAGUAUUUAACAAGUCUCCCUCAUGAAAACAAGCCCUUGACCUCAUCUGACUACCAGCCCAAGGCCAACAGGACAAGCUGCUGUAUUUC